rnacentral:rRNA from 1 species
GGAGUUAGCCGGUGCUUCUUCUGUGAGUGAUGUCCUUCCUGCCGGCUAUUAACCCGCAGGCCUUCUUCCUCACUGAAAGUGCUUUACAACCCGAAGGCCUUCUUCACACACGCGGCAUGGCUGGAUCAGGGUUGCCCCCAUUGUCCAAUAUUCCCCACUGCUGCCUCCCGUAGGAGUCUGGGCCGUGUCUCAGUCCCAGUGUGGCUGAUCAUCCUCUCAGACCAGCUACGGAUCGUCGCCUUGGUGAGCCGUUACCUCACCAACCAGCUAAUCCGACAUAGGCUCAUCCGAUAGCGCGAGGCCCGAAGGUCCCCCGCUUUCCCCCGUAGGGCGUAUGCGGUAUUAUCCUGGGUUUCCCCCAGGUUAUCCCCCACUACCGGGCAUAUUCCUAUGCAUUACUCACCCGUCCGCCGCUCGCCACCAGGGAGCAAGCUCCCCGUGCUGCCGCUCGACUUGCAUGUGUUAGGCCUGCCGCCAGCGUUCAAUCUGAGCCAGGAUCAAACUCUGA